UGCAGCAGUCCACUCGUACGUGCCUUAUUCCUUCAUUAACGUGUGGGCCCCGCCACCACGUCAGAUCACCAUCAAGCUUCAGCCAAACCGACCACGCACGAACAUAUCAAUUUGCAGUUUCUUGACGUUUCUCUUCAAUUGAUUCCGGGCGUUUUAAGCCACUAUUUGAUGCACCGUUUGUUGCUACUUAAGCCCCACACCCUUCUCUUCAUUUCCCCUCAAAUCGCACAGACCGAGAGCCUCCAGGCUGCUCGAAUUUUGCCUCGCAAUUCCGCGGUACCGUCGCGGUAAAUCGUCGAUUACGCGACGGCGCCAUCUUCGUCUCUCAGCACGUCCGCGGGACGGUUCUUUUCGCGAGAGAUUCCGGCGAGAAACUCCCACGAACUUAGGCUACGUUUCCGACCGACGUAUUCUUCCGCGUCUGCAUCGUGCGGUACGCCAGCAUUUCAACGGCGAGCAACACCGGGAGGCGCACCAUCGAGUUCCCAUCGUGGAGAAGGUCUCCGUGGUCUGCUUCACGGUCGCCAUGGAGCACGGGAGCGCGGUCAUCCUCGUCAAUCCUCCACGCCCUGCCGCCGGCGUUUGCACGGAGAGCUGCGUGUUUUGAUUAAGAGAAGUGAACGUUCUUCAACUACCAAAAAGGCAAG